rnacentral:lncRNA from 1 species
UUCCUCUUUGCUUUCACUCUCUCCCAGGCUCCCUUGCUGUCCCACAUUGUUCUUCACCUCCCUUUGUAUUCCCGUUCUGGGCCUAAUUCAUAUUUCUUUCUUAGUUUUACAUUUCUUCUCUUUUCUUCUCUCACCUGUGUCCUCUGGCUUCACUGCUAACCUUCCCCUAUCCUUCUACCUACAUAUCCCUCCCUCCCCAACUCUUUCUGUUUCCCCAUUCUGAAGGAUAAAGUUGCUAUAUGGAAGAGUUUAUUCACUAGAAACAUAUGUUGGGUUGGUCAUUCCUUUUGAUUUAAAUCACACAGUGAAAGGGGAGAGAUUAAUAACUCCCAGGAAUUGUCAUUUGCUAAGAAGUACUUCAUUGUAUUGUGUUGCUAAUUCUAUCACUUGGGCUGAGAUGUUGUGAUUGAUCUCCUCAGUUCUACUUCCUGGUAUAAUGUAAAUGAGAAGGCCCCACAACCAUUAGAGACUCAAAACCUAAACUCCAGGUAUAUAUCAAAGACACUUCUGAGAAGCAGUCAUUUCAUAAGGGUUCUAAAUACUUCAACCAAGAUACUUACAAAGUAUCAACCCAGGAACAAAAGCAAGGACAGUACCAAAAACAAAAAUGAGAAGACAUUUAAGUAAGGCACACACUCAGACAUCCACCCAACAAGAGGCAAAUUCUGGGGGAAAGGAUAUGGAACAGUCUGAGUGUCAACCCCUUGGACACCCUGAACUGAUAGCACAGGAAGUAAUAGAAGAGAUGAAUGAGGUGUUAGAAAUAUUCCAAACAGUAAUAAUCUAUCAGAUAACUACAGAAAUGGUGAGCAGGGUGAAAGACAUGAUUAGAGGCUCUAGAAGAGAAACAGAUAAAAAAAAUAGAUGAGCUCAGAAACAAGUUGAAAGCCAUGGAUGCCCAGCCUAAGAAAGAAAAUGAAACCAUGGUCACCCAACACAAGAAAGAAAUGGAAUCCAUGAAAUGGAUUAAAACAGAUAUUCAGGAUAUUCGCAACUCCACUGAAAGCAUGCCGGGAAGAUUAAGGCAAUAUGAAGAGAGAAUAUCAGAUAUAGAAGACAGGAUUGAGGAGAAGGACCGUCAAAACAGAGAUGUCUUACAAAUACUAAGGGACCACAUGAAAUCCAUCCAACAGGUGCUAGACGAUGGAAAGAAGAACAAGAUAAUUGCUCUUCUCUUCUUUCUCAGCCUGGUCCUAGGUCCUGUGCUCUGCCCUGCUGGCUACCUGGCCCUGCUUCUCCUGGGAGCUCCUCACAGCGGUCUGCCCCGUGUGGGCCUGAAGCCUCCCUUCUAUACCUGUCCCUGAAGUGGCCACACCCUUGGGCUUUCUUUUGUCAGCAAGUCAACAGCCAAUCAAAGCCCUGGGUGGGCAGAGGUGCUGUGAUGUCACAGAACACUAUCUGGAUGGGUCCGUGGGUGAGGGAGGCUCCAACAUGC